UAGAACGAACGCUGGCGGCGUGCUUAACACAUGCAAGUCGAACGCGAAAGGGACUUCGGUCCUGAGUAAAGUGGCGCACGGGUGAGUAACGCGUAGAUAACCUGUCUUCAUGUCUGGAAUAAUACGCCGAAAGGGGUACUAAUACCGGAUAUUCUUGCUUUUCAUAAGUAUGCAAGCAAAGGUGGCCUCUGCAUAUGCUACUGCAUGAAGAGGGGUCUGCGUACCAUUAGCUAGUAGGUGGGGUAAUGGCCUACCUAGGCGACGAUGGUUAGCGGGUCUGAGAGGAUGAUCCGCCACACUGGCACUGGAACACGGGCCAGACUCCUACGGGAGGCAGCAGUGAGGAAUAUUGCGCAAUGGGGGAAACCCUGACGCAGCGACGCCGCGUGAGUGAGGAAGGCCUUCGGGUCGUAAAGCUCUGUCAAGAGGAAAGAAGUGUACAAUGGCUAAUACCUGUUGUAUUUGACGGUACCUCUAAAGGAAGCACCGGCUAACUCCGUGCCAGCCGCCGC
rnacentral:rRNA from 1 species